rnacentral:rRNA from 1 species
GAUGAACGCUGGUGGCGUGCUUAACACAUGCAAGUCGAACGGUGAAAGAGAGCUUGCUCUCCGGAUCAGUGGCGAACGGGUGAGUAACACGUGAGCAAUCUGCCCUUGACUCUGGGAUAAGCGCUGGAAACGGCGUCUAAUACCGGAUACGAGCUGCGAAGGCAUCUUCAGCAGCUGGAAAGAACUUCGGUCAAGGAUGAGCUCGCGGCCUAUCAGCUAGUUGGUGAGGUAACGGCUCACCAAGGCGUCGACGGGUAGCCGGCCUGAGAGGGUGACCGGCCACACUGGGACUGAGACACGGCCCAGACUCCUACGGGAGGCAGCAGUGGGGAAUAUUGCACAAUGGGCGCAAGCCUGAUGCAGCAACGCCGCGUGAGGGACGACGGCCUUCGGGUUGUAAACCUCUUUUAGCAGGGAAGAAGCGAAAGUGACGGUACCUGCAGAAAAAGCACCGGCUAACUACGUGCCAGCCGCCGCCGUAAAAC